ACGUAGUUUGAUCAUGGCUCGAGGAUAGAACGCUAGCGGGCGGGCCUAAUACAUGCAAGUUGAACGAGAUUGUUGGUAGCAAUACUGACAUGAAAGUGGCGCACGGGUGCGUAACACGUAUGUAACCUACCUUUAACUGGGGGCAUAGCUUCGAGAAAUCGAAAUUAAUACCCCCAUAACAUUUAGAAAAAGGCAUCUUUUCUUUAUCAAAGUUCCGGCGGUUAAAGAUGGACAUGCGGUGCAUUAGCUUGUUGGUGAGGUAACGGCUCACCAAGGCUACGAUGCAUAGGGGGUCUGAGAGGAUGAUCCCCCACACUGGUACUGAGACACGGACCAGACUCCUACGGGAGGCAGCAGUAGGGAAUAUUGGGCAAUGGACGAAAGUCUGACCCAGCCACGCCGCGUGAAGGAUGACUGCCCUAUGGGUUGUAAACUUCUUUUGUAUGGGAAGAAAAUUCCGAACGUGUUCGGAGCUGACGGUACCAUAAGAAUAAGCAUCGGCUAACUCCGUG
rnacentral:rRNA from 1 species